AAUGACGGUAUAGUUCAGUUGGUCAGAACGACGGAAUCAUAAUCCGUAAGUCGUGGGUUCAAGUCCCUCUGCCG
rnacentral:tRNA from 1 species